AUUUUUUCUGAGUAUUUGCUCUGUGCCUGGCACUGUGCUAUACGUUGAGGAUAUGAAGAUGAGUAAGUCUCAGUCUAUAUCUUUAGAGACCUCACAGCCUGGAAGGAGAGUUAAAAAAUAAUUACUAUUCAACAUGGCAAUGGUUAUAAAGGAGCAGAUUUUCCAAACUGGUGUUUCAAGGAACAUUCUUUGGCAGGAUGUUAAAAAUGGGAAAGAGCAAGCCUGAAAAAGGAAAUUGAUGAAGAAACAAUUUGGUUAUUCUUGACUCAGUGGCCAAGGAGGGAAUACAGUUGCAAGGAAGACUGGGAAAUGUAGUAUACAGCUGGAG